rnacentral:rRNA from 1 species
GAUGAACGCUAGCGGCAGGCUUAAUACAUGCAAGUCGAGGGGCAGCGCGGGUAGCAAUACCUGGCGGCGACCGGCAAACGGGUGCGGAACACGUACGCAACCUUCCCAAAACUGGUGAAUAGCCCUCCGAAAGGAGGAUUAAUACACCGUACCAUAACGAAGAGGCAUCUCUUUGUUAUUAUAGUAGCAAUACGGUUUUGGAUGGGCGUGCGCCUGAUUAGGUAGUUGGCGGGGUAACGGCCCACCAAGCCUGCGAUCAGUAACUGGUGUGAGAGCACGACCAGUCACACGGGCACUGAGACACGGGCCCGACUCCUACGGGAGGCAGCAGUAAGGAAUAUUGGUCAAUGGACGCAAGUCUGAACCAGCCAUGCCGCGUGAAGGAUGAAGGCCCUCUGGGUUGUAAACUUCUUUUAUCUGGGACGAAAAAGCUCUUUCUAGAGCACUUGACGGUACCAGAGGAAUAAGCACCGGCUAACUCCGUGCCAGCAGCCGCGGUAAAACGU